rnacentral:lncRNA from 1 species
ACGUAACAAAAGCUUCAUUUUUUUUUAGCUCAAUCAAUUGAUUACAAGCGAAAUGGAGCAAUAAAAACUUCCAGCUCAUGUCUGAUGGAUAGAACUGCAAAAAAUAGUAGUAUAACUUACAAAGAAAUAUAACAACAAGCACACUACACUAAUACAAAUCACCAAAAAAGCAAUAGAUUACCAAUAAGCUUUAAAAAAGUGAUUCCUGAACAGUCCAGCGUUUGCAAAUGAAUUAGCCAUACAAUUUUCUGACUAUUUGUGACCACAAACUUUAUCUCCACCAUUCUUCUAACAAAAGCUUCAUUUUAUAUUUUAUACAUUUUAAUUUUAUUAUGCACAUUGUAUUACCUAAAUCAAUUGUAUAUCUUAAUAAUAUUAUUGAUUGAGUUGGUCUCACAAGUUAACUCGACAUAUAUCAACUCAAGAUUGAUGACAACAUCCUGAUAAUCAACUAUAGUACAUUUAAUAUUCUUAAUCUAAUAUAUUUACGUGUCUAAAUUGUAAGUAUUAAAUUUUUGUCCGACUAGAAUUCGUGUUUAAGUUCCAAAAUUUUAAAAAAAUAAAAUAAAAAAUAAAAAAAUUUCAAAAAAAAUACAUCUUAGACCCCUAAACUUUCCUUAAAUUACAUUUAGCCCCAGAGGUUUUGCUGCAUUUGUGAUUUGGUCCUUCAGACAGAUUGCGUGAUUUGGGGCACCCACUUCCCAAAUUUUCAGGCCAAAAACAUGGGUGGUUGUUCCUUCUUCACCCACUACCUGCAAAUGGCAUAAAAAACAAGCAAAAUGGUAGAAAUGAAAAAGGAACACACAAAAAAAAAGAGAGGAUUCUCCCAUUUGAAAAAAAAAGAGCAAAAAAAUUCCAGCAAAAAAAACCCCAAAAAAAAACAUUAGCAAUCAAGAGAAAAACACAGAAAGGUGGAUCUUCGAUUUCAUUUUAUUUGUUUUCAUUUCGUUUUAACUUCUUCUUAGUUUCCUUUCAAAUUUACUGCAAAUCAAUAAACAAAAAGGGGGUUGUAUUACACAGAUUAUUAAUAAAAAAGAGAACAAAAAAAGGUUGUUUUCAUAUUUUCUUUCCUUGAUUUUUUUUUCUUUCUUUAGAUUUUUUUAUUUUAUUUUCUGUGUUAAAUCUUUUAAAAAAAUAAAAAUAAAAAACAAAAGAGGGACUGAAAACUUACCUAUUCUUCGCGUCCCGCCCCCAUUGGAGAUUCCCCGAUCCAAAAGGGCCACGAAACCCCUCAGGUUUCUCGUUUAGGCCAUGGAAAAGAAGAGGGGGACGAGUACUCGGAGGGCGAAAUAGGAGCUUUCUCACUUGACCUUGGUGAGAGAGAGGUUUGUUUCAGAGAAAUGAAAAUGAAAAGGGGGAAGGAAAAAGUUUUUGGUUUUUUUUUCUCUUGAAAAAAAGGACCAGCAGAAUAGAAAAGUAGGAAACUUUUUUAAAAUCAUUUGAAAAGGUAUCGUGAGUGUAGUGGGGGGGGGGUUGUGAAUUCUCCCUAAAAGGGAUAUUUGUGCGUUUAGUCCUUUCAAUUCGCAACUCCAUU